AUUCGCUCAACAUAUUAUUAUAGUUCGCUCACUUUUUUUGACGAAAUUUUAAACGCUACUUUCCACAAGAAAAUUCGCAUCAAUUUCAAACAGCCUUAUCUUCCUCAAACAAAGAAACCCAUCUACUUCCCCUCAAAAAAAAAAAAAAAGAAACCUAUCUACUCAGGUAACUGACAUCGAAUCACAAACUGAAAAACCCUAUCAAUUUUGCCAACAAAUUUCAAUCUCCCAAAUCCUCUCCUAUGAACUGAAAGGAGGAACUAAAUUCACUAAUUGUGAUUAUAUACUAAGAGUCUUCAACGCAGCAAGUCGGCCAAAUUAAUCAAGAAAACCUGAGCAUAGAGGCGAAACUCAAGAAAAACAAGCAAAGAGGCGAAAUUUCGAAUACCAGUCGAACUUCAAAGGUGCAUUCCUUUAUUUCGGAAUUCUGGAAAUUCUUCAAAAUUCACGAAACCCAGUCGAACUCCAAAAUCAAGUCCAUGGUAAUAGGAUAUAAAUAUAGAGUGUAAAUUAUUCAAGAAAAGACAGCAAAGAGUCGAAAUUCAAGAAAACCCAACAAAGAGGGGAAAUUUCGGAUCAUAGUCGAGCUUCAUAAGGUAUGUUCUUCAAUCCAUUGUUAUUGGAGUUUUAUGUUUUAGGAAAAAUUAUUUUAGCUGUGAAAUAAAGUAGGUUUUGUUACCUUGUACUACUAAUUAUUGAUACCUUGCAUGAUAUGAGUUUAUUCCACCCUCCUGCAUUAACAUUUCGG